rnacentral:tRNA from 1 species
GGAGAGAUGGCUCAGUGGUUAGAGCACUGGCCGCUCUUCCAGAAGACCGGGGUUCAAUUCCCAGCACCA